CCCUUGGUAGUCUAGUUGGUUAUGGCGUUCGGCUGUAAUUGUCUGAUUAUUGGUACCGAAAAGUCACCGGUUCGAUUCCGGUCCGAGGGA
rnacentral:tRNA from 1 species